GAGGCACCCCAGGACACCACCGGCCCUCCUGGCCACAGGAAUACACGGCCAGCUCAUGGUCAACUUGCCAUCCAAGACUCUCAGGCCCUUCUGCACAGAGCUGCUCUCUGGGUGUCGAGGUCCUGCUGAAUGUCAGCACAGCCUUCAGGUGCAUCAGGAACUCCUCUAAUUUAAUAUCAUCAGAAAACUUCUAUCCCUACAUCCAGAAAGCUGAUAAACAAUUUGAAUAAGACUGGGGGAAAAAAAUUAAAAGUGAAAAUGUCAAGGUUUUCCUAAAAGUGCUGAAUUCACUCAAGAGGUGCCUGAAUCAUCAUGACUAUAUGAAGGAGAGCCUAGGAGAUUUCAAGAUGCUAACAAGGGUCAGGCUCCUUGUCUUCUUGAAAUCUGCACCCUGUGAUGAAAUUGUCACUUUCCCCGUGUGUUAAUAUCAUCAAUGUGAAUGAUAAACUUCAUCUUGAGGAGCAAGAUGGGACUAUGUUUAUCUGCUUAUUUAGAUAUAUCACUGAAUCAUAGAAUGUUUUUGUUUGGAAGGGAGCUUAAAGAUUAUUUCAUUUCAAUGGGCUCCCAUGUGCAGGAACACUGUCCAAUAUAUAGCAGUUUAGAAUCCUAUCAGAAAAUUCUUGUUCCCAUAGAAUUAAUUGGAGUCUUGCCACUGAGUUCAGUGUAGCCAGAAUUUCAUCAAGGGGUUUUAAUAGGCCUGACUACCCGAAAAAAUAAAGCAAGGAGGGUUUGGCUGUCAGGGACUUAUGCCAGAUUUCACAGUCAGCAAUAUAAGCCAAAUCAACUAACUGAGAGUACUGUUCUGAAACCACAAACUUUUUCCUUCAAAGCCAAAUAUACAGGAAGUUUUGAUAACAAAAGGGCAGUAUGUAGAUGGACAACAGAGGAAAUGGUAAGAAAAAAAUAUAUUUAGUUAGCUAUUUUGAGAUCUCUAACAUUUAGAAUGUCAAUAUUUUUCAUCUUUUAAUUUCUUUCACAUACUACUUUGAUUACAUUUAAUUGGACUUGGACUAGAGUUGUGGGGUUUGGUAUUUUUUGGGUUUGGGUGGGGUUUUUUCUGUUCAUUUUCUUUUUAAAAAAAACAGGUGGAAAGUGAAAAAAUAUCUUUGAAGCUCAAAUCAGUUUUAAAAUGCCUGAAACUCCUUAAUAUUAAAAACUAUUUUAUAAAAUCAUUUAAAUAUGUCUAAUGCUUACUGUUUCAGAUGUCAAUUUUUUUACCAGAAAUUAAAUUUUCUGCUUUUACUGUGAAUUUUUUUUUCUAGCUUAUUGAAUUGCAGGAGAGCUGACUGUUUGGUGGGAGUACU